CUCCGCCUGUUUACCAAAAACAUCACCUCUAGCAUUGCUAGUAUUAGAGGCACUGCCUGCCCAGUGACACAUGUUCAACGGCUGCGGUACCCUGACUGUGCAAAGGUAGCUUAAUCACUUGUUCUUUAAAUAGGGACUUGCAUGAAUGGCAUCACGAGGG
rnacentral:ncRNA from 1 species